rnacentral:pre_miRNA from 1 species
GCCGGACUCUCCGUGUUCACUGUUUGCCUUGAUGUCUUGUAUACUAGCAUAAGGCACGCGGUGAAUGCCAAGAGUUAAGGC